GGUGGGGCCGGGCGCCGCCUUCACCGGUCUGUAGACUGGCAGCCUUGGGCGGGUGGUGGGGGCUGGAGAGUUGGGCUGACCAGCUCCAUCCCUCACUGUCUGGGGCCCGGGGUCGGAGCAGCCCCCGCUCAGCCUCAGCCCCACCUGCCAGUGGGUUUACAGGGCGCGUAGUGGGCCUGCAGCUAAAUGCGUGUUCUUUCCGCUGCCUCUCCUGGCCCGGUGCCACCAGCAGUGGCCUUUCCGGGCCAAGUCUCAGCUGACCUCUUGGGCCCUUGUAGGUUUAAAGAGCUGAAAGGACACUGGAGGGCAUAUAAAUCCCAGUUUACACGCAGGGAGGGAGGGAGAAGUUGUCCCAGGUCAUACGGCAGGGUAGUGGCAAGGCCAUGCUCCUCCCCCCGCCCUGAGCCACCAUGCUGGGGACACGCUCGGAUCCGGCCAGCUCCCCGCGGCUGGGGCGUCUGCUCCAUGCUGUCUGCGGCAGCCCUGAGGCGGGAAGCACUGCCGGGCCUGCUGCCCCACCAGGCUCUGCCCUGCACCCCUCAGAUCCCAACUCAGGGAGGGGCUCAGCGGGAGACAUCACCCGAGAACCCUCAAGGGGACUGUUAGCUUCAGCAGUGAUGGUGGUGGCGGCCCUGGGCUGAGCUACUUCACAGAGACACGUGCUGAGGCCAGGCGACUCCCCAUCUCACGGCAGGUCAGGGACAGUGCUGCUUCGCUCCCUCUGGCCCAGAGCAGCCUGGGCGCUUACCCUCUCGCUGGGCAUCUCUGUCUCAAGGCCGUGGCUCUUGCCUUUGUUAAGCACCUGCCCUGGAGGUAGAGCCAUCGUCACUGCUCAGUGGAUAUGAAGAGCGGAAGCGAUUCCCGCCCUUGGGGAGGCUAGCAUCUCACGUGAGAGCCCUGCUGGCAGGAGGGCACUGCACGGUGGGCGUCUGCAGGGAGCAGAAAGCCCCCGUGCUUGGGGAGCAUCACUGGGCACCAGGCUGGGUGCUUGACGCGUGUCCCCUGCACUGAGAGCAUGCGGGCCAGGCCCGGCCAGCACCACGAUUCACAGCCAAGGAAACCCAGGUUCGAGGGAGGCCCCUGCUGUCUCUGUCAUGCAGUUUGCCGAAGGCCCACUGCAUUCCCCAGCUGCUGCAGACAGUGCGGGGCGGCGGGGGCCCUGCCCUCGGGGGACGGGGGUGCCAGGGGCUCCUCUGUGAAGCGGGAGUGGGAGCAGGGCCUGGCAAGAAGGGAGGGAGCCACCCCUAAGGAUCCCGGGCAGGGCCUGCGGAGGGGGGCCUGUGGCCCGAGGCCUCGUGCAGCAGGGAGGUCAGAGGUCAGAGGGGAGCCCACCGUGUGGCCGUUCACUCUGAGCAAGGUGGCGCGGCCAUCUGAGGUCUGUGUUCGUGAAUAGAAAUUGAUACCCUUUGGGACAAUGGCCUAUUUCUCCGUAGUCACCAUGGGUGCAGCCUGGACGGAGAGGUGGGUUUUUGAUGAGCGAGGGUGGCGGAAUGAGAGAGCACAGGGAAAUUGAGGCUGCAUCAGGGGAACAAUUAUAAUAAAUCAGAGGAUCUAAAUCAGGGAGGACGUGGAGGGAACGACAGCGAAAAGGCGGCUGAGUCAGUGGAUUGGGGGGACCGGGCAGGGCAAUGCCCGGCUGGUGGGGUGGAGGGCGUCCCGGGUGUUCAGAGAAGGGACGGCCACUGUGAGCCAGCGUGGAUGGGGGAAGCCAAGAGGAGGCCCCUGGCGGGCCAAGCCUGAGUGAUGGAGCCGAGCCCCGAGGAGACUGUGAGGCAGCCCGGUGCUGAGUUAGGCCCCGGGAGCGGGUGGGGCUUGGGGCCCAGAGGA